UACGGGGGUAGCAAGCGUUGUUCGGAUUUACUGGGCGUAAAGGGCGCGUAGGCGGCCACCGCAAGUCGACUGUGAAAUCUCCGGGCUUAACCCGGAAAGGUCAGCCGAUACUGCGGGGCUAGAGUGCAGAAGGGGCAACUGGAAUUCUCGGUGUAGCGGUGAAAUGCGUAGAUAUCGAGAGGAACACCUGCGGCGAAGGCGGGUUGCUGGGCUGACACUGACGCUGAUGCGCGAAAGCUAGGGGAGCGAACGGG
rnacentral:rRNA from 1 species